UUGAAAGGGAAACGAUUGAAGUCAGUCGUACCGGCGGAUAAUCAACCUUUCGGCGUGAUUAUGUGGAGCGUGAGGAGUUAAUCACUUUCAUGCCUGCAUAUUCGUGUAUUUUGGGUGUACUUAUCUGUAUGGUAGGUUAACAUCAAUUUUGGUCGUUAUAAAAUGACUGGGGAAAUGUGGCUUUGAUUUCGUAUUGAAGUGUUAUAGUCUCUGGUAGAUAUAGUGACCGGGAUUGAGGAUUGCAACGGAUAACCUUUCGGGGCUACUCGUCUGAUCUCUGAUCGUUACUCUGGUGCUGAAAGCUUGCUUACGGUUAUCAAAGUUGAUGGUUAAUAAGUUAGAACGGGUUAAAUUCGUUAAGGAUGUUGACGUA
rnacentral:rRNA from 1 species